GGCCACCGCGCGGGAGGGGCGGGGCCUGCCGCCGCCACCGCCUCAGGGGAGAGGAAGGAGGCCGCGGCUUCGCGUCCCGCCUCUCGCCUGGCUGGCCGUGGGGGGGCCUGGACGCAGUGGCCUCCCGAAUCUGCCAGGACCCUAAUGUCGCCCGAGGAUGCUGGGAGGAACACUGAGCCGACCUCUCCGUUAGGCUGAAGAUUGCACAAACCAUGCUAAUGGCCAGCAUGGAUGGAGGGAGCGUGUGAGAUGUGUGGGGCAGCGUGCUGUAUCUCAGCCAACUCUAGGAGCCUGUUGAUGUGAUGGACUACCUUAAUUGAUUUUUGAAUGUUGAGCCAGCCUUAUGCAUGUGGGAUAAACCCCUGUUGAUCAUGCUUUGGAGGCUGGAAGUCCAGUUUCAAGGAGUCAGCAUCAUGGGAUCUGAUAAGAAGCCUCUUCCAAGCUGUAGACUGCUGAUUUCCAGUUGUAUCCUCACAUGGUGGAAUGACAGCCAGAUAAUUCUCUAGGGUCCCUUUCACAAAGGCAUUAAUCCCAUUCAUGAGGCUUCUACUCUCAUGACCUAAUCUCCCAAAGGCCCCACCUCCAUGGACCAGCACAUUGGGGGUUAGGAUUUGAUCUUAUGAAUUUGGGGGUGAUAUAAACAUUCAGUCCGCCCAUAGAAAUUAUUGUUAUUGAGACAGCGUCUCACUCUGUUGCACAGGCUGGCUGGAGUGCAGUGGUGCAAUCAUGGCUCACUGCAACCUCAAAUUCCUGGGCUCAAGGGAUCCUCCUGCCUCAGCCUCCCAAGUAGCUAGGACCACAGGUAUGUGCCACCACUCCCAACUAAUUUUUUUAUUUUUUGUAGAGACGAGAUCUAACUUUGUUGCCCAGGCUGGUAUUGAACUCUUGGGUUCAAGUAAUCCUCCUGCCUCAGUCUCCUAAAGUGCUAGGGUUAUAGAUGUGAGCCACUGUACCCAGCCAGGUUGUAUAUUGAAAUAAUAAUUUCUUAAUAUAUUGAAUUAAAAUAUAUUUAAGGCAAUUUUAUCUGUUUCUUUUUACUUUUUAAAUGUGGUUACUGGAUAAUUUGAAAUUAUAUAUAUGACUGUCAUAUAUAAGACAAAGGAAAUGUAAGAGAUUUCCUUUGGACAACACUAUUCUCAAGGGUACUUGGGAAAGGUUUCCAGAGCUUAAAAGACGGAGAAAUAAAGUCAGAUAGAAGGAUGUGUGGGGAAGCAUGCAGGUCAGAGUCCAGGAGAGGCCUGGGCCCUGGGCCAUGUCACAGUGACAUGCGAAGGGCAUGGUGAGAUCAGUCCACCUGCUCUGAAGCUUAUAGCAAGGACAAGCCUGAGAGAUGAGGGGCAGGGGCAAAAGGCAGUAACUGCGAAUAUAUUGGGACUGAAAUAUUUACACAUUUAAUACCAAAGAAAGUAGAAUGGAAAACACCCACCAUUUAUAGAAUUUGCUUGGUGCUGUCCAGGUACCUUAGGACCCAUGAAGGGAGAACUUUCUCAAUUUGAAAUAACAUGAUCUACAGAGAAGGUCAAUUAAAGGAGUCAAAAAGCUCUCAAAGGUAGUAACCACAAAAUGCCACUUUGAAUAAUAUUGCUGGCAAUUUUGUGAAAGAAAAUUAAUGAUAAUGAUACCUGUAAACCAAAAAGUAUGAGACAGGUCUAAACUGAUUUAGAGGUUUAUUUUGCCAAAGUUGAGGGGGCCAGUUACACAGCCUCAGGAGGUCCUGAGAACAUGUGCCCAAGGUGACUGGGUUAUAGCUUGAUUUUAUACAUUUUAGGGAGACAGUAGUGACAGGCAGUGACAUAGAUCAAUACAUUUAAGAUAUACGUUGAUUCAGCCAAAAAAGGCAAGACAUCUUGAAGCAGGUGGGAAGGGGCGUCCAGGUCACAGGUGUAUUCAAAGCUUUCCUGGUUAGCAGUUGAUUGAAAGAGUUAAGCUAUACCUGAAGAGUUGACAUCAGCUUGAAUUAAGGUAAGUGUUGGGGUGGCAGUGGGGGUGGAGGAGUUGUGGAAGUUAAGGUUCAGGUAGAAGGCUUCAGAGAGAACAGAUGGCAAAUGUCUCUUAACAUACCUUAAAACGUGUCAGACUCAGUCACAUUGCUCCUGGCUCAGGAAAAGACCUGGAAAGAAAGGGGGAUUCUCUACAGAAUGUAAAUUUCCCCUACAAGAGACAGCUUUUCAAGGCCAUUUCAGAAUAUGUCAAAGAAACAUAUUCUGGGCGUAAAUUAGUUUGAUUUCCUUUAGGGCCUGUUAUGUGUCAUGUGAUACUGUAGCUGAGUCAGGUUGACAUUGGUGUCUGAUUGCUACAAAGAGUCUGUUCAGUGAGUCUUAGGAUCUCUGUUUUAAUGUGAAUGCUGGUCAGUUGUGUCUAAACUGCAAAAGGGAGUGGGUAUAAUGAGGCAUGUCUGACCCCACUUCUCACCAUGGCAGGAACUGGUUUUUCAGGUUUCUUUGAUAUCCUCUUGGCUGGGGGGGUCCAUUCAGUCAGUUGGGGGGCUUAGAAUUUUCAUCUUGGUUUACUCACCAAAUAAAAAGUCUUUAGAGAAAUGCCAUUGACCAGUAUUAGACACAGGUACAACUAAGAAACCCAUCAAAAUAUGUGAAAAUGUACCAAGGUUAAUUUCCUUAUAAUAUUUUUCAUGUCCAGAUAAUUAGCACAAAUAAAAACUUUCAAAAAUUGCCAACAAGCAGACAAACAACUCUUAUUAUUUGUUUGUUUGUUUUUAAAUAAAUUUUAAGCUCUUGGUUGCAAGUCCUCUGCUUUAUGCUGACUUCAGCACCUUCCUGUGGUAACAACCCCUAAUAACUGGAUGUUUUGGAUCUCAUAGUUCCUGCUGGAAUCUUGCUGUUGCCCAUUCAAGUCUGGUGGUUCCUGUGUGUUGGGGUGGCCUUGCUUCUCCUGCUCUUAGCUCUGGGGGAGCCCUCGGCUGGUGCUGCAGUGAAUCUGUCAGAGUCGUCCUAACCAGAGUGCCCCCAUCCUGAAUAGAGGCUGGAUAAAGCCAAACCUGCUGGGUUAUAGUCCCAGGGGAUUGGGCAGUCCUGGUCACAAGAUAUUUAAGGUUGAGGGAAUAAGUUAAUGAUGCUAAAUAAAUAAAGACCCUGAAUUCUUUCCCGUGAGAGAUCCAAGAACUCACUCUUGGCAUCUGGGAUAAGACCCUUUUUCCGGUAACAAACCCCUGCCCUGGCCCUUUCUUCCUUCUGGAAAAAAAAAAAAUAUAUACGCCUCAAAAAGACUGCAUUAAUCUGAGAAGAAACCGCUGAAUAUGGCUACUAAGAGAAGCUGGGAUUUUCUGAUUUUUAAUGUCGGUUUCAAAGAGAGCAGGUAUACUUUGCAGGAGGGAACCACACUAGCUGCAGAAUCAUGGACGAGCUGGACCACAAGUUUUUACACAGUGUGCAUGCUUUUGUUCUCCUGUCAACUUCUGUUGUUUUCCUGUCAACUUCUGUUGUUUUCAUCAAAAGCCAUCAACCCGCCUCAGCCAGGGCAUCAUAAUGUACAUGCAACAGAGUGUUCCAAGAAACUUUCAGCUGAGACCCUAAGACCCUGGACACGCAAUGCCAGAGUGAAGUGUGAGGACCACAGCUGUGCAGGACAUGCAGAAAGGAGGGGCAGAGAGCCGAUGAGAUGAUGUCCCACGACUCACCUGUGUCAGUGGAGACCGAAGGAGACUUGGAGGGUGCUUUUGGAGAGAACUGCUGAUGUUUUGUGAGCCUCACUCUCUCUGUGUGUGGAAAUGCUGGAGGAUGAAACUGUCUAAACUCUCCUGAAGUCCCGGGAAUGGAGUUUUAAUGGUAAUGUGUGAUGGGAUGUGUGUUCUCUUAUGGUAUGGGAGACACAGAGGACUCACAGAGGAGUGGCCUCUGCCUCUUGACCAGGGAUCGGGAGAGAUGGGAACUGAGCUGGUCAGCUGCUCUUCAGAGCUGGUCGAGGAGAGAUUUCUGCUGUGCUGGGAGGGCCUAAAAACAUGCAUGGAUGGAGCCCAAGGACCAGGUGCAGAUCUUAUGCAAGAAUGAACCAGGGGGUGACUUAGGUCCACCAAAAGACUGCCCAGAGGGACAAAAGGCUAUCAGUGAAAAGAAUCCACAGAUGAACUGCCAGUUCCUCAGGGGCUGAGGCAAGAUCUUAAUUUUGAGCAGGAGCAGAGUGUAUUACCUACAACAAGGAUACCACAGAUGAGAAAACCCUAGUUUUAAACCUGCUACAUCCAAAGAGAGCAAUGCAACUCUGGCAGUAGCAAAAAUGUUGUGCCUCUCCUUUCCUCACUCCUAAUUUCCCAUCCCAGAGAAGGGUCAGAAACCAUCUUCUGCAAGAUGGGAGGAAGGGUAGCAGCCAGACUGCAAAAAGGGAGAAGAAACCAGCUACCUCUUGCUGUUCUCCGUGGCAGACUCCCCACCUGCAACAGGUCAGGUCUGUUACUGGAGAGAAAAGACAGGUAAGCAACACAUGACAACUGAAAAAGAUGUUUAUAGUGGUAACUUUUACUUGGGACAGGAAAAUUAUAAGAGCUGUGUGAAAAUAUGUUAUUGUGUACUGACAAAAUUUAAGGAAGCACAGCAAAACUUCAACCUGGGAAAAUGGGGCACAACAAAGUUCACUGGAGACACUUACUGGGGUUAUGAUUUGAAUCUUUGAACGGAAUUCAAAACAAUGAAGUUACAAGUAUAAUGGUGAUAUGCUUGAGGAAAAAAUUAUUAUUUCUGAAUACUUGAUGUAAAAAAGUUCAGUUUUAGCCAGGUGCAGUGAUUCACACCUGUAGUCCCAGCUACUCAGGAAGCUGAGGCUGGAGGAUUGCUUGAGCCUAGGAGUUCAAGGCUGUAGUAUGUUAUGAUCAUGCCUGUGAAUAGCCACUGCACUCCAGCCUGGGCAACAUAGCAGGAUCCUGUCUCUAAAAACAAAAAGUUUAAUUGAACUGGAAAUCCAUUUGCAUUAUGAUUUAACAUUUGCAUUCCACAAUAGGAAUAGCUAGCUCUUAGACUUAAAGAAGUAUAACUUAAAGGAAAAAAUGAUCUGAAUUCCAGUUGAGGACAGGAAAGCGGUUUCCUUCAGUUGCAGAAAAUGCAUGCUGUUCAUGAAAGCAGCCUGCGUGUGGGUAGGUGAACCAUGUGUCUGCACUCCAUGGAGCGCCAUGCAGCAAUGGGAAGCAGAGGAUGAAAAAUACACAGAACACUUUGGAUUGUGCUGAAAACAAAGCAAAGGAAUAAAAUGAGGUAUAGAACACAAUGCUACCUACACAAAUUAAAAGUACAUCAUACAAAGCAACAAAGCACAUUUUAUAAGAGCACAGACAAAUAAAAAAUACACACAAAACAGAAUAGAGUGGUUGCCCUUUGGGAGGGGCAGGGCAGUGAUAAUGAGAGUGGGAUAAGGGAACAAUCAGCCCAGCAGGGACCAAUGAUACAACUGAAGGGUAUAAAAACCCACUGGGGUUCAGAAGAAAAAGAAUUAUUCUAAAAAGAAGUUCAUUUUCUCAUUGAAAUUUUGAUCACAUUUUAUUUGGAAAUUUUAAACAAACUCAGCAUUUAAUACUUUCCUGUAUACUUAGCAUUUUAGUUUUCUUUUAAUCAUAUAAUAUAAAGAAAUGAUUUUUUUUUCACUAAGUUCAACACAGAUGCCCUCACCAUUGCCUUUAGUUUACCCAACAUAUGGAAAACUGUACUAUUUUCCAUUACUGCCCUGAAAAGGAAAGGCUGGGGAGCCCUGGCGUACUUUGGUUACACAGAAACUUGACUGACACAUCUACUCAUGUCUACCCUUCCAUGCGACAGGCCCCGACUUUAUGUUUGAAAUACAAGUAGUAUGUGGCUAUCUUCAGCAUCUGUGUUUUAAAAGGUUUGAUGGUUAUUUUUGCUGAGAACCUCCUCCCCCUACCCUCCUAGUCAUUGCCCAUGUGAUUAAGAGGCAUGAUGGCCUCUCACUGGGACAGUCUGAAGCAACAGGAUUCACAUGAACCUUAUGUGACUACCUUUCCUGCCUGGCAGCUGCUGACCUAGCCUUCCUGCAGCUAAGAGGAAGGGCCCCGCUCUCUGAGAACCUGUAGCUGCUGCAAAGACCCACACCUCUCCUCUGUGGUGCACACAGACACACAUGCCGUACUCUGCCAGGAGUGGUACAAAACAAAUUAUCCUCUUUGACUAGGAAUUUUCUCUUUCCUUUCACACUGGGUCUCUGAAGGGAGAGGAGGUGGCAGUAAAUUUGCUUGUGUAUUUAUCACAGGCUGUGAGGCUGAGUCUGUGUGAGGAACCAUUCAUCUAGCAGUGGUGACUGCACAUUAGAAUCACCUUGGGAGCUUUCAAAACAUAGCAGUGCCUGCACUGAACCCCAGACAAAUGGAAUCAAAAUGGCUGGGGGUGGAGUGUGGGCACCAGUAAGUUUUAAAAGCUCCCCAGAUGCUUCUAAUAUGCAGCCAAGGUUGAGAUCCACUGCUCUAAGCUGUACACUUGAAACUGGAGAGUUAGUUAAUUCAGCUUCUUAUUGAAUUAACAAGACAAGAACUAACUUUAAAAAAUCGAAGUUUCAAUCUUUUUGUAGCAUAAGAUCACACUGUAGAGUUCCAAUCAGAAAUUUUCAGUGGAUUCCCCUUACAUCCCCCUCUCUUUUUGAUCCCUGAAUCUUAUACGGUUCCUUGAGGAAUUGUUAUACAGUGACCUCACCACAUUCUUAUGAGAUAGAAACAGUAAAUAUAACCAAUCCAAGUUAACGCCAGGGCAGUGUCAGGGAGUUAAAGACUCAUUCAUUUCCUUCUUAAAAUGUAACCAUUAGUUUAUUCCAUGCAUAUCUAUUGGCUGCUAAUUAUGUGCAAGGAAGUGUCAUCACAUGCUGCAGCAGAUAAAAAGAUACUUAGGAUACCACUUGAGUUUUCAAGAUGCUUACAGUCCAGUUUUCUACAACUAACUAAACCCAAGGAAGUGUGUAAUGCCUUGAAAGAAGGUCAAAGUUUUAUACUUCAGGAGUGGUAGGGAUGAAGCUAAAAACAGCCUGGGGCCAGCUUGGACUUUACAGGCAGUGGUAGCUUAUGAAAUGGUGCAGGGUGGAGUGGUGACAUGACAAAGUGGUGCUUUAGGAGAUUAUUGUAGCAUCUGGAUGAAAGGUUAAUUAAAGGUAAAGAGUGAUUCUAGUUGAGGCAGGAAAACCAGUUUGAAGACUACCUCAUAGUCUAGGUUGGUGUGAAUUAAUAAGGGCCUGACAAAACUCCUCUGUGUUGGAAAAAAUUGGAACCGAAGUUGUUUUGGGGAGGAAAGGUGGCCAUUGAUGGGGAAAGCAUGAGAAAACUUUUUGGGGUAAUGGUAAUAUUCUAUAUCUUGUUAGGAAUUUGGGUUCAAAGGGUAUAUUCAUUUGUAAAAUGAAUCAGUAUAUGUACACAUAAGAUUUGUGCACUACAUUAUAUGAAAGUUUUGUCACAGAAACAAAAACUGUAAACAUGGAACUCUAGUUAAUGAUUGCACUUAGAGGGAGGUGCACUGAUGUCUGUAAUCUAAAGUGUAUCAGAAACUAAGACGGAUCAAUGGAUGAAGAGUUAUGUGAUAAAGCAAGUGUAGUUAACAUGUUCAUGGUAGAACCUAGGUGGUGAGUAUAUGCACAUUCGCUGUACAAUUCUUUCAACUUUGUUAUAUAUUUAAAAUUUUUUGUACUAAACUGUAGGAGAGAAAAGGAUUUGAAGCAGAGAAUGAAUCCAGUGGUAUUUUAAAAUUUGAAUUGAUAAAGCUUGGCAUAACUGAAUGUAGGGAAUGAGGACCCAGAGAAGUGGGAGUUACCAUGAACUUCAGUGAUUAGAAUAACAGGAAAAUAAAGGUAUUAUUCUUAUUAAUAAAAACCAUUCACUGAGCCCCCAGUUAUGUACCAGGUAUUGUGGUAGGUGAAUUACAUAGUUUAUUUUUCAUCUUCACAACAAUUCCAUAUGGAAAAUAAUAUUAUAUCCAUUUUACAGGUGAGAAACAAAAGCCCAGACUGGGACUGGAACAGACUUCACACUCUCCCCUAGGUGGUUCCGAUUCCAUUUGUCCGGGGUUCAGUGCAGGCAUUGUUGUUGUUUUUUUUUUUUUUUGGCAUUGGUAUGUUUUGAAAGCUCCCCAGGUGAUUCUAAUGCAUAGUCACCACUGCUAGAUGAAUGGUGCCUUACACAGACUCAGCCUCACAGCCUAUAAUAGCCAGGCUGGUUAAAUAGUAAAAGAAAUAGGGAAGUCAGAAAAGGUUUGAGGGGGAAUUGAUGUCUGAUUUUGAGAUGAAAGAAACAUACUAAAAUAAUUUUAAAAUCUCAUAUAUUUCAGGUGUGAAACAUGAUAUUUUGUUUUAUUUAUUUAUUUAUUUAUUUAUUUAUUUAUUUUUAGACAGAGUCUCGCACUGUUGCCCAGGCUGGAGUGCAGUGGUACGAUCCUGGCUCAUUGCCAGCUCUGCCUCCCAGGUUCAAGCCAUUCUCCUGCCUCAGCCUCCCGAGUAGCUGAGACUACAGGCACCUGCCACCAUGCCCAGCUAAUUUUCUGUAUUUUUAGUAGAGACGGGGUUUCAACGUGUUAGCCAGGAUGGUCUCGAUCUCCUGACCUCGUGAUCUGCCCGCCUCGGCCUCCCAAAGUGCUGGGAUUUUUUUUUUAUUUUUUGAGACAGAGUCUUGUUCUGUUGGCCAGGCUAGAGUGUAGUGGUGCGUUCUCGGCUCAUUGCAAGUUUCGCCUCCCGGUUCAAGCCAUUCUCCUGCUUCAGCCUCCUGAGUAGCUGGUACUACAGGUGCCUGCCACCAUGUCCGGCUAAUUUUUGUAUUUUUAGUAGAGAUGGGGUUUCACCAUGUUGGCCAGGCUGGUCUCGAACUCCUGACCUCAGGCAAUCUGCUUGCCUCAGCCUCCCAAAGUGCUGGAAUUACAGGCAUAAGCCACCACGCCCGGCCUAACAUGAUAUUUUGAAACAAUAUACAUAGUGAAAUGAUUACUAAAGUCGUGCAAAUUAAUACAUUCAUCUCUUCACAUAGUCACCCCAUUUUUUUUGUUUUAGAGUGAGAGCACUUGAAGUCUCUCAGCAAAUUUCCAGUAUACAACACACUAUUAUUAACUAUGGUUACCAUGCUGUACGUUAGAUCUCUAAACUCCUUCAUCCUACAGAACUGCAACUUUUGUACCCUUUGACCAACGUCUUCCUGUUUCUCCAACUCUCUGCCCCUGGGAAGCACUGUUCUACUCUCUGUUUCUAUGUAUGACUUUUUUAGAUUCCACAUGUAAGUGGGAUCAUGAACUGGUUUUCUUUCAGCGCAUGGCUUAUUUCACUUAGCAUAAUGUCCACCAGCUUCAUCCAUGUUGUU